rnacentral:rRNA from 1 species
AUGAAGAAUAAAAAUGGUCGUCGCAGACGCAAUAAAGCAGCUCGCAAGGAAGCUAGUGCUGGCAAUGGAGAAGGAGACAGGCUUAGCAAGCUGCCCAAUGACCUACUGCUCAACAUUCUUGAGAGGGUGGACACGCUUGAUGCAAUAAGGGUCUGCGUCCUGUCCAAGCAAAUGCUUAAGCUACCCACCAUGCUCUCGCAGUUCUUCCUAAGUUUUGAUUCCAUUCCAGCUUACCAUGAUAAAGCUCGUGUUUCCAGCCUCAGCCUGAGUGACGUGUUUCGAACCAACAGUGCUGUGGCUCAUGUUACAGAUAACAUCUUGACCACAAGGAGCCCGGAGAUCACCAUCAGCAAACUCAAAAUCAGAUUUAUCUUGAUGCAACCUGACUCUCUCACUAUUGGCAAAUCUGUGGCCAGCGCCAUGGCAACACAGAAGGUUGACGCUGCUGAGUUUGAGAUUGUAACAGAGAAGCCUUAUAAGAUCUGCUCUUCCGCCGAUCUCCUCCACCAUGGGAAGCAGUUCAAUGAUUUUGUUUGUGCUUGUCCAAAUGCAUUUGCUGGCCUUAGGCGCCUGUGGCUGCGCAAUAUGAGGUUUGGUGCACUGGACAUUCCCAACAUCCUCACCACAUGCAAGCUCUUGGAGUCUUUGCGUUUAACCCAUUGCGACUCAGGGAUCCAUUCUGUGCUGCAAGUAGAGCAUGCUCAACUUGUUGAGCUCUUGGUUGAUUAUGGGCAGUUUGAGAGAGUUGAGCUGAUAUGUCUACCAAAACUCAAACAUGUGGCCUAUACUAAUUGGUCCUCUUGUGAAGAUCCCAUGUAUUUUGGUUUUGUGCCACAGCUUUCAAAGCUGAGCCUUACUAAAAUUGGCGUCCGUUCAGAAAAGAAUAUUGAGUUAAGUCAGCUACUUGCUAAUGUUCCUUCCAUAAGCGAACUACAUCUGGAUUUUAGAAGUGAAAAGAUUUGGAUUAUCCCAGAAUGCCCGAAACUGCUUGCGUCUGUGCUCAGCAAACUACAGCAUGUGAAUCUGGACCAUCUUCCUGAAGGAUGUGAUUUAGCUUGGACAAUGUUUAUCCUUGAAGCUGCUCCCUCCCUAAAAGAGCUGUGCAUCACAGUAUGGGAUCAUUGGUGCAUAAUUUUCACUGACAAAGAGUUCCGGAAGGAAAAUGGUUUCUGCGAUAAGGCAGACGUGAAGUGGAAGCCAUAUGCCCCUAAUUUCAAGCAUAAGAAUCUGGUUAAGCUCACCAUCUACGGCUUCCAGCCUGAUGACAACUUUGUGUGA